rnacentral:rRNA from 1 species
UAGGGGGCAAGCGUUGUCCGGAUUUAUUGGGCGUAAAGAGCGUGUAGGCGGUUUGGUAGGUCCGCUGUGAAAACUCGAGGCUCAACCUCGAGACGCCGGUGGAAACCAUCAGACUAGAGUCCGGAAGAGGAGAGUGGAAUUCCUGGUGUAGCGGUGAAAUGCGCAGAUAUCAGGAAGAACACCCGUGGCUAAGGCGGCUCUCUAGUACGGUACUGACGCUGAGACGCGAAAGCGUGGGGAGCGAACAGG